GCUCUCUUCGUCUAAUGGUUAGGACACUACUCUUUCACGGUAAUGAUAUGGGUUCGAGCCCCAUAGAGAGCA
rnacentral:tRNA from 1 species